CAACCAAGGAACAUCUAUGGGCAAUCUACCUCUUCAAUAGGAGUCACACAGCAAAGCCUCAGUCUCUCUCUGUGGCCCUAGCAGGAAUUUGCUGUAACACUGGCUGGCAUGGAACUUGGUAUGUAGACCAGAUUGGCCUGAAACACACAAAGGCCUCCUGAGUUCUGGGAUUAAAAGGUCUGACAGCCAGUCCAAUGCUGAUAAGAACCUGCAUCUCAUCUUUUUCCUGAUAAUCAAAGAAAAGAAAAUAAUCCAUUUCUCCUG